rnacentral:sRNA from 1 species
UACGCUGCCAUUAGGGCAGAAUAUGCAGACAGACAUGCUGAACUAUCUGGAAGUCCACUGAAAAGCAAAAGCACUAGGAAGCCUUUGGCAUGUAUCAUUGGGUAUUUAGAGAUCCAUCCUGCAAAGAAACCUAAUGUAAUUCGAUCUACACCAAGCCUGCAAACCCCAGCUACCAAGCGGAUGCUAACAACUCCAAAUCACACAUCUCUGAGCAUUCUGGGGAAAAGAAACUACAGUCAUCACAAUGGUCUGGAUGGUAUGUAAGCCCAGGAAUGCUGGAGGCUGUUCUGAUAGAGUGCCUUCACACUCAGGCAUGUGUCUGCCACAUCCAAGAAUAUAUUAUAAACAUGUUCUUGUAUUCCAUGAUUGAAGUAUGUGGUUGAGGAAUAAGGGGCAAUAUGGCCAUAUGCCACAUUUUGCCAAGGGAUAGUUCUCCAUCACAUCAGGAGGUACUUAUUUGCUCCCAUCUCCUGUUAGGAGGCGUUUUUGGAGAUUAAAUCUGUAUUUAGCAGAUUGCUUCUGCUGGGUAAUAAUGUUCUUGCUGUGAUGCGCGCU